rnacentral:rRNA from 1 species
AGUUUGAUCCUGGCUCAGAACGAACGCUGGCGGCGCGCCUAAUACAUGCAAGUCGAACGAGAAUGUGUAGCAAUACACAUGUACAGUGGCGAACGGGUGAGGACUACAUGGGUAACCUACCCUCGAGUGGGGAAUAACUAGCCGAAAGGUUAGCUAAUACCGCGUACGCUUCCCGGACUGCGGUUCGGGAAGGAAAGCGAUACCGUGGGUAUCGCGCUCUUGGAUGGGCUCAUGCCCUAUCAGCUUGUUGGUGAGGUAACGGCUCACCAAGGCUUCGACGGGUAGCUGAUCUGAGAGGAUGAUCAGCCACACUGGCACUGCGACACGGGCCAGACUCCUACGGGAGGCAGCAGUAAGGAAUAUUGCGCAAUGGGCGAAAGCCUGACGCAGCGACGCCGCGUGGGGGAUGAAGGUCUUCGGAUUGUAAACCCCUUUCGGGAGGGAAGAUGGGAUGGGGUAACCCAUUCGGACGGUACCUCCAGAAGCAGCCACGGCUAACUUCGUGCCAGCAGCCGCGGUAAUACGAAGGUGGCAAGCGUUGUUCGGAUUUACUGGGCGUACAGGGAGCGUAGGCGGUUGGAUAAGCCCUCCGUGAAAUCUCCAGGCUUAACCUGGAAAGUGCAGAGGGGACUGUUCAGCUAGAGGAUGGGAGAGGAGCGCGGAAUUCCCGGUGUAGCGGUGAAAUGCGUAGAGAUCGGGAGGAAGGCCGGUGGCGAAGGCGGCGCUCUGGAACAUUUCUGACGCUGAGGCUCGAAAGCGUGGGGAGCAAACAGGAUUAGAUACCCUGGUAGUCCACGCCUUAAACGAUGGAUACUAAGUGUCGGCGGGUUACCGCCGGUGCCGCAGCUAACGCAGUAAGUAUCCCGCCUGGGAAGCACGGCCGCAAGGUUGAAACUCAUAGGAAUUGACGCCAGGUCGAAUCCAUCC